rnacentral:rRNA from 1 species
UACGUAGGAGGCAAGCGUUAUCCGGAUUUACUGGGUGUAAAGGGAGCGUAGACGGUACGCCAAGUCUGAAGUGAAAUGCCGCAGCUUAACUGCGGAACUGCUUUGGAAACUGCCAUGCUGGAGUGCCGGAGAGGUAAGCGGAAUUCCUAGUGUAGCGGUGAAAUGCGUAGAUAUUAGGAGGAACACCAGUGGCGGAGGCGGCUUACUGGACGGUAACUGACGCUGAGGCUCGAAAGCGUGGGGAGCAAACAGG